rnacentral:lncRNA from 1 species
GUACUUUGUGUGGCGUUAGUGUUCCAUUACUGGCCCCUCUAAGUAAUGGUCUUCACAGUGCACAGCAAGUUCCCAGUGUGUAGAAAGCCAUACACCAGGAUGUGGGUCAACCAUGAAGAUGUGGCAUUGCAGACAGGGGAACAUGUGGAUGCAUGGCUAUCACCUUGAGCAGCCCCUGCAGUUGCUUGUGUUAACACAAAAGUGUUUAGCAUUCUGCCGCUUUUAUAUUUAUGUAAUAACUCUUUAAAGCCAUUCAGAUGGAUAACUAUUUAAUUUCUUAAAGACAGUUGUAAAGGUCUCUCUCUGAGGACAAUGACUUGGUAAAACUGGGGCACAGCCAGUCCCAGACACUGGUCGUGGCUACAGUGGCUUUUUGGGCUCAGGAUCAACACGCAUCAGAGUAGACUGGGCCAACAUGUGGUGGCGUGUGCAAACAGGCUGCCCUAGACCAGCCCAGGCCCUUUGACAGCACGUCCUCUGCACCAAGGCCCCUCCCUUCUGGAAGUGGAAAACUUCACAAGGAAAUUGGAGCCAUCUUUUAUCCCAGAAGCCUUUGCUGCUGCCAGGGCAAGUGGGCUGGUGUGGACUCUUGUUUGGGGAUGUUUGGAGGCUGAGGUUAUAUCACUCCUUAGCUAGCCAGGCCUUUAGUAUCUUUGUAAAAAGCAUGUAUUUAUAGUGUUUUAGAUUUUUUCUAACUUUUGUAUUUUACAGCAUUGUACCCCAUUGUUAAAGAGCCAUGUCCCCUCUUCUUAUAAGCGCCCUUCUAAUAAACUUUUCACCGUAAAGCUCCUGAGCCAGGAGCGCGGUCUG